AAUUUUUAAUAGCAUUUCAAAGUAUAUGUUGUUAGGAUAUGGGAGGUUUCAAAUAAAUACAAUAAAAAAAAGAUUGAGCCAAUUGAAAUUAUUCUCCAAGAUGCAAAGGUAUCAUUUUCGUAAUAAAAUAUGUUUUCUUUUUAUUUAUUGUUGAUAUUUUUAUAGUGGUGUGAUACAUAUAUAAAACAGUCAAAAUACAUUACUUAUUUUGGUAGAAUCCAUUGCACUAUUCCCAAGGGGUUAGUAAAAAAAUGACGUGGUGCUAUUUUCGAGUUUCAGAUGUACACUAAUUUUGGUGUGUUCGACAAUAAGUACUAUAAGGAGAAGAAUGAUGUGAGUAGGAUAGUGUUGACAUUCUCCGAGAGGACUUUGGUCAAUCAUAUCUGAUCGGCGAGGUUGUUAGUAAGGAAGAUCCUAGGAACUUGAUCACUAGCAAAGGGAAGGAGACUAAGUGUUUAGUUAUCAUCCUUCAAAACCUCGAGAAUAAUAGGAUCAAUUGCAUUUUGUUUGGUGAGUCAGUUGACCAUCUCCUACCGCACCUUGAAGAGGAGAGACCUGAACCACUUAUUGUUGUGUUGCAAUAUUUUAAAGCAAUGAGGUGGAAUAAGAAAAUAUCGGUGCAAAGCAACUUUGAAAUCUCGAAGGUCCAUAUUAAUCCCGAAUUAACAAAAGUCAUCCAAUUCAAGAGCAAGUUAAGUAGUCCUACCGCAUGAAGUUCGACCAGGAUCAGCCAGGUGUUAUCUCCUAAUACAUGGUCUGCCUUAGACGAGUUAAAACACAGAAAUGUGGCUGUCAAGAUAGUAUAAGAAGAUCUUAAUUCCACGGAGGUCUAAUGUGGCUAAAAUUUACACAAUUAAUUUUGAUAUUGAUGUGAGGAUUUAUACCGGUUCAAAAUUUAACAAAAU